UCAGCCGCCGCGGUAAAACCAGCACCUCGAGUGGUCAGGAGGUUUAUUGGGCCUAAAGCAUCCGUAGCCGGUUGUUUAAGUUUUCGGUUAAAUCUAUGCGCUUAACGUAUAGGCUGCCGAAAAUACUGGACAGCUAGGGAGUGGGAGAGGUACACGGUACUCAAUAGGAAGGGGUAAAAUCCUUUGAUCUGUUGAUGACCACCUGUGGCGAAGGCGGUGUACCAGAACACGCUCGACGGUGAGGGAUGAAAGCUGGGGGAGCAAACCGGAUUAGAUACCCGGGUAGUCCCAGCUGUAAACGAUGCAAACUCGGUGAUGCAUUGGCUUGUGGCCAAUGCAGUGCCGCAGGGAAGCCGUUAAGUUUGCCGCCUGGGAAGUACGUACGCAAGUAUGAAACUUAAAGGAAUUGGCGGGGGAGCACA
rnacentral:rRNA from 1 species